rnacentral:rRNA from 1 species
CGGGGAGGGUCAUUGGGAAACUGGGGAACUUGAGUGCAGAAGAGGGGAGUCGCAUUCCCACGUGUACCGGUGAAAUGCGUAGAGAUGUGGAGGAACACCAGUGGCGAAGGGCGACUCUCUGGUCUGUAACUGACGCUGAGGCGCGAAAGCGUGGGGAGCGAACAGGAUUAGAUACCCUGGUAGUCCACGCCGUAAACGAUGAGUGCUAAGUGUUAGAGGGUUUCCGCCCUUUAGUGCUGCAGCAAACGCAUUAAGCACUCCGCCUGGGGAGUACGGUCGCAAGACUGAAACUCAAAGGAAUUGACGGGGGCCCGCACAAGCGGUGGAGCAUGUGGUUUAAUUCGAAGCAACGCGAAGAACCUUACCAGGUCUUGACAUCCUCUGACAACCCUAGAGAUAGGGCUUCCCCUUCGGGGGCAGAGUGACAGGUGGUGCAUGGUUGUCGUCAGCUCGUGUCGUGAGAUGUUGGGUUAAGUCCCGCAACGAGCGCAACCCUUGAUCUUAGUUGCCAGCAUUCAGUUGGGCACUCUAAGGUGACUGCCGGUGACAAACCGGAGGAAGGUGGGGAUGACGUCAAAUCAUCAUGCCCCUUAUGACCUGGGCUACACACGUGCUACAAUGGGCAGAACAAAGGGCAGCGAAGCCGCGAGGCUAAGCC